UCAACACAUUGGCUACACCCCUUCCAGGAGGGGCAUGAAACUAAAACUUAACUUCAGGUUUCUUCAACUGUCUGGGCUUGCUUUUCAAAGAGAUCGAAGAUGGCUUUGGCUAUAGAAAGUUUGAGUAUCAGUGUUGGAUGGAAGAGUCUCGCUUUGAAAGGUUUGGCCGUAUCCACCUGUGGAUUAGUGAUUCUUGUAGUUGGAGUUGUGGUCGUGGCAGGUAUAGGUGCAUGGGCGUACGUGGAACACAUGAGGCGUCAACCCCCCCCAAAGGAAGAAGAAAAACCUUCAUUCUGGAGCAAAGUAAAAUCCUUCUUGGGUUUUUAGCUCAAGCUUUGAUUGAAUCCUGACUCAGCAAUAAAAAAAAUGAUGUCAGACACUGUUG